UACGUAGGGGGCAAGCGUUGUCCGGAUUUAUUGGGCGUAAAGAGCGUGUAGGCGGCCAGACAGGUCCGUUGUGAAAACUCGAGGCUCAACCUCGAGACGCCGAUGGAAACCGUCUGGCUAGAGUCUGGAAGAGGAGAGUGGAAUUCCUGGUGUAGCGGUGAAAUGCGCAGAUAUCAGGAAGAACACCCGUGGCUAAGGCGGCUCUCUAGUACGGUACUGACGCUGAGACGCGAAAGCGUGGGGAGCGAACAGG
rnacentral:rRNA from 1 species